rnacentral:rRNA from 1 species
UACGUAGGGUGCAAGCGUUGUCCGGAAUUAUUGGGCGUAAAGAGCUCGUAGGCGUUUUGUCGCGUCUGCUGUGAAAUCUGGAGGCUCAACCUCCAGCCUGCAGUGGGUACGGGCAGACUAGAGUGCGGUAGGGGAGAUUGGAACUCCUGGUGUAGCGGUGGAAUGCGCAGAUAUCAGGAAGAACACCGAUGGCGAAGGCAGAUCUCUGGGCCGUAACUGACGCUGAGGAGCGAAAGCAUGGGGAGCGAACAGG